GGAGUGAAAAAGAACCUGAAACCGUGUACGUACAAGCAGUGGGAGCCUCUUUAUGGGGUGACUGCGUACCUUUUGUAUAAUGGGUCAGCGACUUAUAUUCUGUAGCAAGGUUAACCGAAUAGGGGAGCCGAAGGGAAACCGAGUCUUAACUGGGCGUUAAGUUGCAGGGUAUAGACCCGAAACCCGGUGAUCUAGCCAUGGGCAGGUUGAAGGUUGGGUAACACUAACUGGAGGACCGAACCGACUAAUGUUGAAAAAUUAGCGGAUGACUUGUGGCUGGGGGUGAAAGGCCAAUCAAACCGGGAGAUAGCUGGUUCUCCCCGAAAGCUAUUUAGGUAGCGCCUCGUGAAUUCAUCUCCGGGGGUAGAGCACUGUUUCGGCAAGGGGGUCAUCCCGACUUACCAACCCGAUGCAAACUGCGAAUACCGGAGAAUGUUAUCACGGGAGACACACGGCGGGUGCUAACGUCCGUCGUGAAGAGGGAAACAACCCAGACCGCCAGCUAAGGUCCCAAAGUCAUGGUUAAGUGGGAAACGAUGUGGGAAGGCCCAGACAGCCAGGAUGUUGGCUUAGAAGCAGCCAUCAUUUAAAGAAAGCGUAAUAGCUCACUGGUCGAGUCGGCCUGCGCGGAAGAUGUAACGGGGCUAAACCAUGCACCGAAGCUGCGGCAGCGACGCUUAUGCGUUGUUGGGUAGGGGAGCGUUCUGUAAGCCUGUGAAGGUGUGCUGUGAGGCAUGCUGGAGGUAUCAGAAGUGCGAAUGCUGACAUAAGUAACGAUAAAGCGGGUGAAAAGCCCGCUCGCCGGAAGACCAAGGGUUCCUGUCCAACGUUAAUCGGGGCAGGGUGAGUCGACCCCUAAGGCGAGGCCGAAAGGCGUAGUCGAUGGGAAACAGGUUAAUAUUCCUGUACUUGGUGUUACUGCGAAGGGGGGACGGAGAAGGCUAUGUUGGCCGGGCGACGGUUGUCCCGGUUUAAGCGUGUAGGCUGGUUUUCCAGGCAAAUCCGGAAAAUCAAGGCUGAGGCGUGAUGACGAGGCACUACGGUGCUGAAGCAACAAAUGCCCUGCUUCCAGGAAAAGCCUCUAAGCAUCAGGUAACAUCAAAUCGUACCCCAAACCGACACAGGUGGUCAGGUAGAGAAUACCAAGGCGCUUGAGAGAACUCGGGUGAAGGAACUAGGCAAAAUGGUGCCGUAACUUCGGGAGAAGGCACGCUGAUAUGUAGGUGAAGUCCCUCGCGGAUGGAGCUGAAAUCAGUCGAAGAUACCAGCUGGCUGCAACUGUUUAUUAAAAACACAGCACUGUGCAAACACGAAAGUGGACGUAUACGGUGUGACGCCUGCCCGGUGCCGGAAGGUUAAUUGAUGGGGUCAGCGCAAGCGAAGCUCU
rnacentral:rRNA from 1 species